AGAGUUUGAUCAUGGCUCAGAUUGAACGCUGGCGGCAGGCCUAACACAUGCAAGUCGAACGGUAACAGGAAACAGCUUGCUGUUUCGCUGACGAGUGGCGGACGGGUGAGUAAUGUCUGGGAAACUGCCUGAUGGAGGGGGAUAACUACUGGAAACGGUAGCUAAUACCGCAUAACGUCGCAAGACCAAAGAGGGGGACCUUCGGGCCUCUUGCCAUCAGAUGUGCCCAGAUGGGAUUAGCUAGUAGGUGGGGUAACGGCUCACCUAGGCGACGAUCCCUAGCUGGUCUGAGAGGAUGACCAGCCACACUGGAACUGAGACACGGUCCAGACUCCUACGGGAGGCAGCAGUGGGGAAUAUUGCACAAUGGGCGCAAGCCUGAUGCAGCCAUGCCGCGUGUAUGAAGAAGGCCUUCGGGUUGUAAAGUACUUUCAGCGGGGAGGAAGGGAGUAAAGUUAAUACCUUUGCUCAUUGACGUUACCCGCAGAAGAAGCGCCGGCUAACUCCGUGCCAGCAGCCGCGGUAAUACGGAGGGUGCAAGCGUUAAUCGGAAUUACUGGGCGUAAAGCGCACGCAGGCGGUUUGUUAAGUCAGAUGUGAAAUCCCCGGGCUCAACCUGGGAACUGCAUCUGAUACUGGCAAGCUUGAGUCUCGUAGAGGGGGGUAGAAUUCCAGGUGUAGCGGUGAAAUGCGUAGAGAUCUGGAGGAAUACCGGUGGCGAAGGCGGCCCCCUGGACGAAGACUGACGCUCAGGUGCGAAAGCGUGGGGAGCAAACAGGAUUAGAUACCCUGGUAGUCCACGCCGUAAACGAUGUCGACUUGGAGGUUGUGCCCUUGAGGCGUGGCUUCCGGAGCUAACGCGUUAAGUCGACCGCCUGGGGAGUACGGCCGCAAGGUUAAAACUCAAAUGAAUUGACGGGGGCCCGCACAAGCGGUGGAGCAUGUGGUUUAAUUCGAUGCAACGCGAAGAACCUUACCUGGUCUUGACAUCCACGGAAGUUUUCAGAGAUGAGAAUGUGCCUUCGGGAACCGUGAGACAGGUGCUGCAUGGCUGUCGUCAGCUCGUGUUGUGAAAUGUUGGGUUAAGUCCCGCAACGAGCGCAACCCUUAUCCUUUGUUGCCAGCGGUCCGGCCGGGAACUCAAAGGAGACUGCCAGUGAUAAACUGGAGGAAGGUGGGGAUGACGUCAAGUCAUCAUGGCCCUUACGACCAGGGCUACACACGUGCUACAAUGGCGCAUACAAAGAGAAGCGACCUCGCGAGAGCAAGCGGACCUCAUAAAGUGCGUCGUAGUCCGGAUUGGAGUCUGCAACUCGACUCCAUGAAGUCGGAAUCGCUAGUAAUCGUGGAUCAGAAUGCCACGGUGAAUACGUUCCCGGGCCUUGUACACACCGCCCGUCACACCAUGGGAGUGGGUUGCAAAAGAAGUAGGUAGCUUAACCUUCGGGAGGGCGCUUACCACUUUGUGAUUCAUGACUGGGGUGAAGUCGUAACAAGGUAACCGUAGGGGAACCUGCGGUUG
rnacentral:rRNA from 1 species